rnacentral:rRNA from 1 species
AGUGAACGCUGGCGGCGUGCCUAACACAUGCAAGUCGAACGAUGAUGGAGGAGCUUGCUCUUCCUGAUUAGUGGCGCACGGGUGAGUAACGCAUAGGUAAUGUGCCCCUUAGUUCGGGAUAGCCACUGGAAACGGUGAUUAAUACCGGAUACUCCUUCUCGUUAUAAGACGGGUCGGGAAAGUUUUUCGCUAAGGGAUCAGCCUAUGUCCUAUCAGCUUGUUGGUGAGGUAAUGGCUCACCAAGGCUAUGACGGGUAUCUGGUUUGAGAGGAUGAUCAGACACACUGGAACUGAGACACGGUCCAGACUCCUACGGGAGGCUG